rnacentral:rRNA from 1 species
AGGCCUACGGGGGGCAGCAGUGAGGAAUAUUGGUCAAUGGCCGCAGGGCUGAACCAGCCAAGUAGCGUGAAGGAUGACUGCCCUAUGGGUUGUAAACUUCUUUUAUAAAGGAAUAAAACGAGGCACGUGUGCCUUUUUGCAUGUACUUUAUGAAUAAGGAUCGGCUAACUCCGUGCCAGCAGCCGCGGUAAUACGGAGGAUCCGAGCGUUAUCCGGAUUUAUUGGGUUUAAAGGGAGCGUAGAUGGGUUGUUAAGUCAGUUGUGAAAGUUUGCGGCUCAACCGUAAAAUUGCAAUUGAUACUGGC